rnacentral:rRNA from 1 species
GACGAACGCUGGCGGCGUGCUUAACACAUGCAAGUCGAGCGGUAAGGCCCUUUCGGGGGUACACGAGCGGCGAACGGGUGAGUAACACGUGGGUGACCUGCCCUCAGCUCUGGGAUAAGCCUGGGAAACCGGGUCUAAUACUGGAUAUGACUCCAUGACGCAUGUUGUGGGGUGGAAAGCCUUGUGCGGCUGAGGAUGGGCCCGCGGCCUAUCAGCUUGUUGGUGGGGUGANGGCCUACCAAGGCGACGACGGGUAGCCGGCCUGAGAGGGCGACCGGC